CGUUUCAAAAAACUAAAGUUUUAAACGCAGGUACUCGUGAGAUUUCUUGAUCUUGGAACAAGGUUGACGCUAUUGAAGCUGUUGGAAAGUUAAAUCGAGUGGCGAGGACUCCGCCGCUAGUUUCCAUGACAAUAUUUCCCAACACAAAAUUUUCCCCGAAAAGAACCAAUUGCGCCCACUUCUGAAUUACGUGCAUCUUCCGGAGAUGGUUGAAUUUCGUGUAGCGGUAAAUCAUUCACGUGGAAUCAUCUACCAUCCAGCCGGAAACAUUCGCUGUACAGCAGGGUGCCGGAAAAAUUAACGUUCAGGAUAGCCGUAAUAAUGUGUACACGACAGCAGGAUUUCUCCCUGCUAGGCAGACGAAGGAAACGCCAAGUUCCGCGAUUAAAAGUGAGUGUCGAAUUCUCCUACCAAAAAUGGCAACAACGCAACACUAAGCAAAACCGUUUUGCUCAAGCAGCAGAAAAUAAAUUACAUUAGGAAGUGACGCAUCGAUGUUAACCACAGAAGAAAUUUUUCACGUGAUCAAAAUCCGGAUCGCCUAGAGUAACAAGUAUGAGGCCGUGUCUUAUAUUUCGUUUUUGAUGUCUUUUGUAGGAUUGAGCCAACCAACAAUUGGAACAACGUACAACUUAAGAAAUUUGAACAGCAAAGGAUACAAAUUGGAUUGAGAAACUUUUAAGGCGUUUCUGCAACAAUUAUGGAAAAUUUCUCAAAAUAAAUGAGACGCCAGUUGCCACGUUUGCCGUGCUCACAGUAGAACAGGAAAACUUUAUAACUCGCGGACCGGAAAACGCUAAGACAGCUUUGAAUUCAGUACUGCUAAAAAAUAUAUUCAAUCCUUGGAGGAUCUCGACGACCAGCAGUUCUGAGAAACCGGAAAAGGUAGAUCCCGUCUGCAUUCGACUUUUUCCAACUGGGUGAUGUAUCGCAAGAUAUAUGGUAUUGGACUUAAUCGAUCUACUAGUUUGCAUCCAAAUCUGCCGAACGUUUGGUUGAGAUUGAAGGUGUGCUGUCCACCAACCGUAUUGGGGUUCAACGUGAAUACUCAAAAUAUUGCAAUCGAAAACCCACGUUGGGUGUUCCUUGAAAGUUUUUAACUUCACACCAAACGACGUUUUUGGAUGGACGGUUUCAACCAUAUUAUCCAGCAGUUUCGAAGGAAAGGUGCCAUAUUCUUCCCCCGCACAGGUGUUCCUUGCACUAUAUCGCAGCUAAGCUGAGUGGUCAACAGCAAACCAAUGAUUAUCUACAGGAGCUCAGCGAGUAUUUUUUUAGGGCAGCAAGCUACUGUGCGCCUAAUGUGUAGUUCUGGUGCUACGAUUUAUGUGUGAAUGAAAGCAUUUCAAAUAAUUUCAAAAGAUGCAUUUCAUAGUUGUGAACUCAUGAUCAAUUUGUUGAGUGUAGUAAAGAAAUU